rnacentral:rRNA from 1 species
AAUAACCGCGCCCCAAGUGGUAGUCACGUUUAUUGGGCCUAAAGCGUCCGUAGCCGGUUUGUUAAGUCUCUGGUGAAAUCCGUUAGUAAACUAACGGAAGGGCUGGAGAUACUAUCAGACUCGGGACCGGGAGAGGUCGAAAGUAUUCCACGGGUAAGAGUAAAAUCUUUUAAUCCGUGGAGGACUACCUGUGGCGAAGGCGUUCGACUGGAACGGGUCCGACGGUGAGGGACGAAAGCGUGGGGAGCAACUGGGAUUAGAUACCCCAUUAGUCCACGCUGUAAACGAUGCCCUUUUGGUGUCGCACAAUCUUCGAGAUUCUGCGGUGCCGUAGCGAAGGUGUUAAAAGGGCCGCCUGGGGAGUACGAUCGCAAGAUUGAAACU